rnacentral:tRNA from 1 species
UGGGCCGCUAGCUCAGUUGGUCAGAGCACUCGGCUGAUAACCGAGAGGUCAGAAGUUCAAAUCUUCUGCGGCCCACCAU